CUCUACAUUUAGAAUUUGGGCAACAAAACGAUCGUAUUGGUCCGCUCUCAAAAGAUCAUGGACGCCAUGAUUCUUUUUGACAUGGGAGAAAUCGAUAUGCAGAGCUUUUUGACUCGAUUUUCAAGGCAGGACCUGUUUGACUGGGAUGAUGAAUCAAAUAUUUCCGGAAUUUUGCCUGAAAUGAAAUCUUCCACAACGUCACUUUCCUCGAAUGCUUCAAAUUUAAGACAUACCAUAAAUGGAACAAUGAUUCUUUAAAUUAAAAACUAAACCUAAGUGCCCGAGCUGUAAACAAGAAGUCAAAGAGGCAAUAAGUUAAGUUUUUAUUUACACCUAAAAACUGUAAAACCAACAAUAGGUUAUGGCAAAAAGCUAAUAAAAAAAA